UAUAUAUCAAAAUGAAAAAUGGUGCGAUCAAAAUGAUGACCAUUCACAUUGAUGCAGUAAUCUUCUCGAGAAUAUAUAUAUAUGUAUAAACAAUGUAUCAAAAUAAUAUAUACGAAGAAUUGAGAAAGUAAAUUUUUUAUUCACAUGCGUUAAAAUAAAAGAUUGUGAUCGGAAUGAUUCACUAUUCACACUGAUGCGUAAUUAAAUUUCCUCUAGAAAUAUAGAAAUAUACAAGAGUAUGUAUAAAAAUUGAAGAAUAUAUGAAGAAUACAAAAAAAUAAGUAAACGUUACUUACAAACAUCAAAAUGAAAUGUUAAUAAUAUGUGAUAUAAUAACCAUUUGCAUUAACGCAAUAUUUAAUAGCUUUCUUCAAGAAUUAUGUAUUUUUAUUUUUUAUUUCCGGCUGAAUUAUGGAUAAAAAUCUAACUGAUUGAAAUCUGAAAAACGUUAACCACUAAUUUUUUCUCAUUUUUCAAAGAAAAUAUAUAAAAGAAAUUUUAAAUCUAUAAUGAAACAGAAUCAGGCCAAGAUAGAAUGAAGUGCAAAAUGUUGUUUGAUUUCAUUGAUAUUUUUAUUACAAUAAUUCCAUAUGAAGAGAUGAAGAUAAAUAUAGAAAUGUCGAAGUAAAAAUGGAAAGUUGCGUGACAUUACAUACUAUUUUGUAAUAUUAUGUAAUAACAAUAUACAAUAGGUAGGCUAUACGGUAAUAUCACAAUGCAUGAUUCACAACUUCAUAAAAGUCUAGAGAAGAGAAUAUAAAUUUUAAAGAUACCAGGGACACGUAUCAUCUAUGCCCCUAUUUAUUUCUCUUAAAGACAAAACGUUAUUAUUAUUAUAUCAAUUAGAAAACGUACGAUGAAAAAAGUGUAUUCUUUUCCUCAUAUUCUUUCUUAUCAUACUGCACACACUUUCGAGAGAAUUGGAAAUACGCAUAUAUACGUACAAGUGUAUGCUUGUGUUUGAAUAAAUUCCAAUUCGUAAUUAAU